AGUACGUGAAACUGCUUAGAGGUUAAGCCCGAUGAACCUGAAUAUCCAUUAUGGAAAAUUCAUCAUUAAAAUUAUGUUAUUUUAAAAAUUACAUCAAUAAUAGUGUGCAAUUUUUCCAUAUAAGGACAUUGUAAUCUGUUAAUGAAUAUUAAUUGAAAAAUUAUUUUAUCAUAAGAUCAUUUACUCAAGUUUAUUAACAAUUAUUUAUUCUUUAUUGAAUAUUUAACAUAAAAUAAAUGUAUGAUGAUUUGAUAAAUUAUUGACAGAUUAAUUAUAUAUAUAGUGCUUAAAUUGUAAAAAUUUUACAAUAUAUAUUAUUAUUAUAUAAUAAUAUAUUAUUGUAUGCAUUUAUAUGAUUAACAAUGCGAUAGAUUCAGGAUACCCUCGGGACCCGUCUUGAAACACGGACCAAGGAGUCUAACAUAUGUGCAAGUCAUUGGGUAUUUUUUUAAAAUAAAAACCCAAUGGCAUAAUUAACUUAACUGUUUUUAAAUAAAUAUGGGAUUAGUUUAUAUUUUAUUAUGAAAUAUUAAUUCAAUCCCGGGGCGUUCUAUACAGUUAUGUAUAAUAAUAUUUAUAUUAUUUAUACCUCUAACUAGAGC
rnacentral:rRNA from 1 species